GAAGUUUCCAAAAUUCCUCUCGGUUAACUCAUUGCGAGCAGAAACCAUUUGUCACGCAGACUAGAGAGGCGUUUUCCGUGCAGCGGCUCUGGACGUGGGGCCGCGCGCUUCUGGGCCACCCCGUCGAGCCGAGCAGUGGUUGUUGAGUAAGACCCAGUCUCCCUGCAGGAAGCUGUUAUUAAUUCUAAUUUGGUGAAGUCUUCAGUUUCAACAUCUCAAAUGGUAAUACAUAUAUUUCUGAAAGAAAAUUCUAAAUGGAUUUGGAAUUGUGAAGCUGUUGGUAAUUAUAGUCUGGUAAAGCCCGCAACAGUGACUUCCAACAUGUGCAAAUAGUGCGGGAUGGAAGCAGAACAUGGAUCCAGCAUGAAUUCUAUCACAAGACCUCAAGACGUCAGUGUCUGUUUUGCUGCUGGGACAGAAGGAUGUCACAAGCAGAGAGCUCAAAGUCCACCUGCAGACUGACACAGACGCCCUUUGACUUUCUAUUGACUGAAGGAAGGACUGAACUUCUUGAUGACACCUAAGAGAGGGUUAAAAAGGGGUGAUUAAGAAGAUCACAACUAGAGGACAUCUGCACUUUUGUGAGCUUUGGUGUUUUUAGUAAUAAUGGUUCAUCCUGUGAUCUACAAAACAAACUGUAAGUUCCUUUGGUUUGAUUCAACUUAGGCUCCUGGUGCUGUAGACAGUGAAUGAGGAAGAAAACAAUUACACCACACUUGAAGCUGAGUAUCUGUACAGAUCUUCUGUAUGGAUCUCAUAUUCCACACAGUGACCACCAGUCCCUUUUUCUACAGGGAUGAUGCAAUUGUACCUGGGACACCACAAGCAACUCUAGGUUUUCCAACACUGAUUCUGUGCUUAACUAAAGCAAUUAAUAGUACUGACCAAUGAAUGUGGAGAAAGACAAACAAACUUCCCGAUUUUGCUGUAUUUAGGUAGUUCUCUUCACCUGAACAGAUCAGGUCUUAAAGAGGGUGUAACUGCAGUCAUAGCUUUAGAACUAUAAUCAGUAAUACUUAUAUCUCCUGUUACAGACUUUAUACCUCAGGAGAUGCGGAGGAAAAUUAUUCAUCUGCGAAACACACAGCGUGUCAUUGCAGGUGACAGUAAAGGUCUUUCACCGGAAUUACCUGUAAAAGCAAGCUUUUGUUAAUGAUUUCUAACAGGUCAUCCAAGCAUAGUUCAGUGCACUGAACUCUAGCCAGAGAAUGGAAACUAUGACAGCACAGUGCAUGAGUUUCAGUGACAACACACUGUGAACCUUACAGGAAAUUUAAGGCUGUUUUUUUGCCUAUCGGUAGAUGAAAACUGAACUGAGAAGUGGAUCCAGCCAAUGAAUGAGAGGGAUCCUGAAUGCAGAAGUUCCUUUUCAAGUAUUGUUGAGUUGUGAUGAAGAUCUGAUGACAUAUUUUUAGUCAAAUUUCUUUUUAUGCAUCUAUGAUGUCUUAUUUUCCUGAAAUAUAAUGGUGACUGCCAACAGCAUGGUCUGCAACAGAUGUUAAGAGAGCUUAGGGAUAGAUUCAGAUGGCUGAGUACAAUAUAAUCAUUUUACAUGAAAUAGAGUUGGCAAGCUAAAAUGGUUAUGGCUUCAAGUAUAUGCCUUUGCAGAUUAAUUGCUGGUGAUUAUACUUUUCUGAUAGCACAGACCUGGAAUGCUGAACUGUAAAAAAAUUCUUGUGUGUCCCUCUGAGGGCAGGAGUAUGCAAGUGUGUCAUCAGCACAAGUAAUGAGCAUGUAUUUGCCUAAAUCAACCCUGCAUGUGAGCUGCUGAGACACUUUCCAGAUAAAAUGCUAAAACAGAGAGUUGUCAGUCUUCACUUAACAGAGUAUGCUUUACUUCUCUGGUACAUGGGAUGCUGAGACUGAUAGCCAUCUACUUCUACCAUGAGUAAAAGCUAGUUUCACACACAUAUACAAAAACAAACAAACAAACAAACAAAAAAA
ensembl:lncRNA